CCUACGGGAGGCAGCAGUGGGGGAUAUUGCACAAUGGGGGAAACCCUGAUGCAGCGACGCCGCGUGGGUGAAGAAGCGCCUCGGCGCGUAAAACCCUGUCAGCAGGGAAGAAAAUGACGGUACCUGAAGAAGAAGCCCCGGCUAACUACGUGCCAGCAGCCGCGGUAAUACGUAGGGGGCAAGCGUUAUCCGGAUUUACUGGGUGUAAAGGGGGCGCAGACGGCGAUGCAAGCCAGGAGUGAAAGCCCGGGGCCCAACCCCGGGACUGCUCUUGGAACUGCGUGGCUAGAGUGCAGGAGGGGCAGGCGGAAGUGCUGGUGUAGCGGUGAAAUGCGUAGAUAUCAGGAGGAACACCGGUGGCGAAGGCGGCCUGCUGGACUGCAACUGACGUUGAGGCCCGAAAGCGUGGGGAGCAAACAGGAUUAGAUACCCGGGUAGUC
rnacentral:rRNA from 1 species